UGGUUCUCUUGUUCCCGUGUGUAUAACCUGUCCACUUUUCUGUGUUGAGUUCUCUCUCACUGUCACUCCCCGCUAACCCUAAAUUCCCAAAUUUUCGACCAUGACAAAGAAGCCGAAGCAGCGCCCUGCACCGGUGGAAGAUCCUUCAACUGCUUCCUCCUCCGAAUCUGAGGAAGAUGAUGACCGACCGCAUUCUUCUCAACAGCAUGCAGCAGCACCACAGGUUUCUUCCUCUGAAGAGGAAGACGAUUCUUCAGAAGAAGACGAGAAGAAACUUUCCACUCUCCCUGCUUCUGCAAACCAUCCCUCCAAGCCUCACCCCAAGUCCUACUCAUCUGAAUCCGAACCCGACACUGACUCGGAACCAGCUCGAGUCAAACCCAAACCGAAGCCCACGGACCUACCCCAGCCCAAGGUCCAAGCCCAGCGUUCCUCCACGCCGGUGAAACCGGGAUCCAAGCGCCCAGCCCACGUAACUGAGCCGAAACGCGCGAAAAAGAAACCAGCUGAGGCUCCUUCUCCCUCCGUUGCUAACGACGAGACAGAGGAGGACGGGAAGAAGUCCGGCGGGCAAACGAGGGUGUUGUUCCAGAGGAUCUGGAGCGAAGAAGACGAGGUCGGCAUUCUUAAGGGCAUACUUGAGUUCAUCUCAAAGACCGGACAAGAGGCUUAUAGGUACGUCGACGCUUUCCACAACUUCAUUAAGAAGUCACUCCACGUGGAGGUUUCCAGCCAUCAGCUGAAGGAGAAGAUUCGACGGAUGAAGAAGAAGUUCGAGACUCGUGAGGCGAAAAAGAAGAAAGGGAUUUGGCCUCGGUUGUUGAGGCCUCACGACCGGGCCGUGUAUGAAUUAUCCAAGAAGAUUUGGGGUGAAUGGCCCAACGGACUGGUGGAAAAGCCCAAGCCUCUUGCGAAAUACGUUACCAAGACUCAAAAGAAGGAAUCAAAAGCCGAGGACAAAGUUCCGUCGCAGCCAUCAGCGCCGCUGCUGGCGUUGCCGGCGCCUGAAAGUUGUGACGUGAGUUUGCUUUACAGCAGUAUUUCUUGUUUUAAAGAGCUGGAUGAGGAUGAGAUGAAGAGAGGACUUACUUUGAUUGGAGAAUCCAAGAGGAAGGAAUUGGAGAGAAGGUGGAAAGUGUUGCAAUAUUCUGAGAUGGAGCUACUUGCGAAUCGCUCUCUACUGAUUGGGGAGCAGAUUAAGUUGGUAUCUGAAGCCCUACAAUCAUCCAACAAUUAGGAUUCAUUGUGUUAGGAACAUUCAUUCUCAUCCAGGCUUGGAUGGGGAUGAUGGAAUGAAGCGUUUUGUGUUUUUGUGUUGACUGUCUAAUGCAAUGUCAUGCAAAUUUGCCUCUGCUCCUUUGGUGCUUAUCCUUCAAAGGAAGAUGUUAGUUAGGCAAGUUCAUCACUCCAUCCCCCAAGGCAUUGAUUCUCCUUCCUUUAAGGUAGAUAAUUCCAGAAUCCAACGGUCUGACUUUUCAAAUUCACUUUUUUUUCUCUGAUGGAAGCAGGUCACACUUUGGUACAUCUCUGUUGACAUUAUUUGUAGUUCACAACAUUUGAUUAAUGAGUCUUUUUCCAGACAUUAUUCUCCUCCGUUUUAGUUUUGCUGAAAGCCCAAACCCUCAACAGAAAUCAAUAACUUGGUUUUGAACUUUUUUAACCCUAGUGUUGACCAUAUAAAGUAGUAUAAUGUACUGAUUCGUUGUUGUGGAU